GGGUGUGAUCAUACCAGCACUAAUGCACUGGAUCCCAUCUGAACACAGUAGUUAAGCGUGCUUGGAUGAGAGAAGUACUAGGAUGGGUGACCCCUUGGGAAGUUCUCGUGUUGCAACCC